rnacentral:rRNA from 1 species
UAAGGAAUAUUGGUCAAUGGACGCAAGUCUGAACCAGCCAUGCCGCGUGAAGGAUGAAGGUCCUCUGGAUUGUAAACUUCUUUUAUCUGGGACGAAAACGGGAUUUUUAUCUCAAUUGACGGUACCAGAGGAAUAAGCACCGGCUAACUCCGUGCCAGCAGCCGCGGUAAUACGGAGGGUGCGAGCGUUAUCCGGAUUUACUGGGUUUAAAGGGUGCGUAGGUGGGCUUAUAAGUCAGUGGUGAAAUCUCCGAGCUUAACUUGGAAACUGCCGUUGAUACUAUAGGUCUUGAAUUAUCUGGAGGUAAGCGGAACAUGUCAUGUAGCGGUGAAAUGCUUAGAUAUGACAUAGAACACCAAUUGCGAAGGCAGCUUACUACAUAUAAAUUGACGCUGAGGCACGAAAGCGUGGGGAUCAAACA